AAAAGACUUCUCUCCCACAAAACAUGACAUAAGAAGUACACUUUUUAUACUACGAUGGCUUCUCUCCUACAAAACACGACAAAAGAAUUACAAUACUGAUACUAAAAAGACUUGUCUCCACAAAACAUGACAAAAUAAUUACAAUUUUUAUACUACGAUGACUUCUCUCCCACAAAACAUGACAAAAGAACUACAAUACUGAUACUACGAAGACUUCUCUCCCACAAAACAUGACAAAAGAAUUACAAUACUGAUACUAAGAAGACUUCUCUCCUACAAAAAACG
rnacentral:lncRNA from 1 species